GGACGGGCUCUAGGGCCCAGCGGUGGGGCCCGGGCAGGGAGGAGUGUAGGAUUCCGGACCUGCCCCGGGACCCUCCAGCGCAGCGCUGGGCUCGGGAGCGCGCGUGGCGCUCGCUCUGGGACCAGGCAGCGGGGUGGGUGGGGACUGCAGGGGAAGCCCUGGCAUCUCUGCUUCCCGAAUGCAGGGCGCGGCAGCCCGCAGCCAUCCCCCUGCCGCCACUGCGAGCCAUGCUCACCCCAUGAUCCGCCCGUGAUCGCCCAUGCGGAGGGCAAAGUCGCGCCGGGGACCUGGCGAGCCAGCGCCGAGAGCUCCCCCUCCUGUGUGUUACAGCCCCAGCAGUCCUGCGCAGGUUCUAGAAGACGCUGCCUACUUUUACCAAGACUUCCAGCUCUACUCUGGGAGGCAUGAAGCGUCAGCUUUGACUUUAGAGGCAAGCGGUGGCCUAAGAGGGAAAGGUGUGGAGGACCCUCUCUCUACCUUCCACUCCCCAAACUUCCUGAGGCCCUCAGAGGUGGACAUGAGAGGUUCUGAGGAUGCGGCAGCUGGAACAGUGUUACAGCGGCUGAUCCAGGAACAACUGCGCUAUGGCACCCCGACCGAGAACAUGAACUUGCUGGCCAUUCAGCACCAGGCCACAGGGAGUGCAGGGCCAGCCCACGCCACCAACAACUUUUCUUCCACAGAAACCCUCACUCAAGAAGACCCACAAAUGGUCUACCAGUCAGCUCGCCAAGAACCGCAGGGUCAAGAACACCAGGGGGACGGUACGGUGAUGGAGAAGCAGGUCCGGUCCACGCAGCCCCAACAGAACAAUGAGGAGCUGCCCACCUACGAGGAGGCCAAAGCUCAGUCGCAGUUCUUCAGGGGCCAGCAGCAGCAGCAGCAGCAGCAACAACAACAGCAGCAGCAGCCCCCACAGCAGCAGGGACAGGGGCCUCUGGGCCACAGCUACUACAUGGCUGGGGGCACCAGUCAGAAGUCUCGCACUGAAGGGAGGCCCACAGUGAACCGGGCCAACAGUGGACAGGCGCACAAGGAUGAGGCCCUGAAAGAACUCAAGCAGGGCCACGUUCGCUCCCUUAGCGAGAGGAUCAUGCAGCUGUCACUGGAGAGGAAUGGGGCUAAGCAACACCUCCCCGGCCCGGGAAAUGGGAAGGGCUUCAAAGCUGGAGGGGGACCCUCCCCAGCCCAGCCUGCCUGUAAAGCACUGGACCCUCGUGGUCCUCCACCCGAGUACCCCUUCAAGGCCAAGCCAAUGAUGUCCCCAGUCAGCAAGAAUCAAGACCAUGGACUUUACUACAGCGACCAGCACCCUGGAGUUCUGCACGAGAUGGUGAAGCCUUACCCGGCACCUCAGCCUGCGAGAACAGAAGUGGCCGUCCUGAGGUACCAGCCGCCCCCGGAGUACGGGGUCACCAGCCGUCCGUGCCAGCUCCCAUUCCCAUCCACGGUGCAGCAGCACAGCCCCGUGUCCUCGCAGACAUCCUCCAUCAGCGGGCCUCUGCACUCCGUCUCCCUGCCACUUCCCCUUCCUAUGACCCUGGCGGCUCCACAGCCCCCGUCAGCAUCACCCAGCCAGCAGCUUGGACCAGAUGCCUUUGCCAUUGUGGAGAGGGCCCAGCAGAUGGUGGAGAUCCUCACAGAGGAGAACCGCGUGCUUCACCAGGAGCUUCAGGGUUACUACGACAACGCAGACAAGCUUCACAAGUUUGAAAAAGAACUGCAGAGGAUCUCAGAAGCCUAUGAAGGCCUGGUCAAGUCCACCACCAAGCGCGAGUCCCUGGACAAGGCAAUGAGAAACAAGCUGGAGGGCGAGAUCAGACGACUUCAUGAUUUCAACAGAGACCUCCGAGAUCGACUGGAGACAGCCAACAGGCAGCUGUCCAGCAGGGACUAUGACGAGCAGGAGGACAAAGCUGCAGAGGGGCAGUACGCAUCCCAGAACAAAGAAAUCUUGAAGGAAAAGGAAAAGUUGGAAAUGGAGUUAGCGGCAGUGCGGACCGCGAGCGAAGACCAUCGAAGACACAUCGAGAUCCUGGACCAGGCCUUGAGCAAUGCCCAGGCGAGAGUGAUCAAACUGGAGGAGGAGCUACGAGAGAAGCAAGCCUACGUGGAUAAGGUUGAGAAGCUGCAGCAGGCCCUGACGCAGCUGCAGUCGGCGUGCGAGAAGCGCGAGCAGAUGGAGCGCAGGCUGAGGACCUGGCUGGAGAGGGAGCUGGACGCGCUGCGGACCCAGCAGAAACAUGGAAAUGGCCAGGCAGCCAGCGUGCCAGAAUGCAAUGCCCCGGCCCUCAUGGAGCUCCUGCGGGAGAAGGAGGAGAGGAUCCUGGCCCUGGAGGCCGACAUGACCAAGUGGGAGCAAAAGUACCUGGAGGAGAGCACCAUCCGGCACUUUGCCAUGAGUGCCGCAGCCGCUGCCGCAGCCGAGAGGGAUACCACCAUCAUCAACCACUCGAGGAAUGGCAGCUACGGAGAGAGCUCGCUGGAGGCCCACAUCUGGCAGGAGGAGGAGGAGGUGGUGCAGGCCAACAGGAGGUGUCAGGACAUGGAGCACACUAUUAAAAACCUCCAUGCCAAAAUCAUAGAGAAGGAUGCCAUGAUAAAGGUCCUUCAGCAGAGGUCCCGUAAGGACGCUGGGAAAACAGACUCUUCCAGCCUACGGCCUGCCCGCUCUGUCCCGUCCAUCGCUGCAGCCACUGGGACACAUUCGCGCCAGACCUCGCUUACCAGCAGUCAACUGGCAGAGGAGAAGAAGGAAGAGAAGAUCUGGAAGGGAAGCAUAGGUUUGCUGCUGGGGAAGGAGCACCAGGAGCUGGCGUCUGUGCCCCUGCUGGCCCCGCCUGCCUCUGCACUGGCCCCUCCGGCUCCCACCACAUCAGCUAGCAGCGCCCACGCCAAGACAGACAGCAAGGACAGCAGCACGCAGACCGACAAGAGCACCGAGCUUUUCUGGCCUAGCAUGGCCUCCCUCCCCAGCCGUGGCAGGCUGAGCACCACCCCAUCCAACAGCCCCAUCCUGAAACACCCAGCUGCCAAAGGGACCGUGGAGAAACUGGAGAACUCUCCUGCCCAUGGGAAGUCACCAGACCACAGAGGCCGCGUCAGCAGCUUGCUGCACAAGCCCGAGUUCCCGGAUGGAGAGAUGAUGGAAGUGCUCAUCUAAACUCCUGUGGAGUUUCACACCAGCAUGCUCACAGACAGGAAAAGAGGCAGAGAGGGGGAAGAAAGAUCCAGAAGGAAGCACGUGUGAAACCCGGACUGGUGUGAACAGACAACUCCAGAUUCAAAAGAACACGUCUGUAAAUGUUACCUAAGCAGCAGGCGUCUGUGAUGCAGAGAAGAGAAUGUGAUGGAGUUUUAGCGUGGAGAGUGGGGGAAAGAUGCACCUGCAGGCUGGAUGCAGCGUUAAGAAGAAACAGGAGCGGAAUUUUCCACUGUAGGCAUUGUUCGUUAGGGGAAGAAUCUGUGCUCCUCCAUUCUUGGGUUAUAAACAGAUAAACCCAAACUGGGCCUUCCUUGGAACAACCCCAUUCUCUGCCUCUUAGCAUGUUUGUUUUAAGAAGAACCUGCUAGGAAUCUGUAGAGCCCAUCUUGAUAUAACACAAUAUUGCCGUGCCAUCCUGGAGUGUCCUGAGAGAGAGAGAGAGAGAGAGAGAGAGAGAGAGAGAGAGAGUCCUUUGGAGACACUUCCAGGGUGAUGGGGAAUUCCAAGCAGGCAGUUUUGCUACCUACUUAGCUGUUUGGCUUGUGUUUUGGGGAGUGUGCGGCUUCUUUGCUUGUCUGGAUUCAGUUGUAUUUCUCACACAGGAUGGGCCACGAUGACAUUGGUCCUCAUUCACCUGACUUCUCUGAGCUUAUUUCUGUCUCUGCUCUACCUGGUUUUGUCCCUUCACUUUAUUUUAUUUUUCCAGUUUAGUGAGACGUGGAGAGUUCCUUAUGAAACUCUCAUCCUUGCUGUGGUGCCCAAUAGAACAGAGCCUCGUGCUGGCUCUCCUCCACCUGUGCCAGCCUCGUGCUGCCUCUCCUGGCUGCUUCUUCCACCAUUGCUGGCCUGGGCUGCAACUGUUAAUCUCAUUGUGAGCUGGGGAAGCCUGGCUGAGGCGUAGGAGUCUAAGUCCAUGGCAUCUUGUAUCCUGAUCCUGCCUCUGCCUUGAUUUUCUCUCCUGUCUGGUCUCUUGUGUGGAGCUUGAUGUUUACCCCUAUUUCCUGUUGGAGGAAGACUUCAAGGUACAGCUUCAGGAACCCGAUGAUGGUCACACAGCUACCCAGGCCACACCUAGCACCUCACCAGGCAGCCCUGGACCACUUUCCUGUAUCUGGGACUCUAGAGCCUGUUUCCUGUGCCCCGUGUCCCAAGCUGUGCUCUUGAUUGCUCUUGGUGAGCACAUAGCCUUCCCUGAUCCUUUUUACCCCUGCUGUGAACUUCCUUUGUCACCCCUCUGGUCAGUAGAUACACGGUGUGGUCAGUGUUUCACCAGGGAGGCGACUGACCCAAGUGAGGCAGUGAUGCCAAGGGAAUGAGCCAGUGUGUGCGAAGGGGCGGGGCUCUGCCCUGAUGAAGGCUCAGGUACAAUGCUGUGGACCUUGGCUUCCAGGAGAGCAUGGGAGGAAGGGGCUCAGGAAGGAGGAGAGGCUGAUGGGGUAGAUGGCCCUGCAGGGCUCUAAACUGUCCUCCAGCUCAGCAGGAUUUGCUUUCCUGGGUCUCUUCCCACAUGGCUACUUUUCCCUUAAAGGAAAAAAGAAAUCUGUAGGUCUGUGAGCUGGUAAGUUACCUCUGAAAGGCAGCACUGAAGAUGGUGCUGUUCAAGGAGCUUAGCUUUGGUCAUAUGAUCCAGGACUGGCCUCUGGAAUAUAAACUGAAUAAGUUACGGCCUCCCCAGGUUGAGAUGGUGAGGGACAGUGAGAAGUGUAGGCUGGAGAGGAGAGGAGGAGGAAGGGGAAACCAGUGGCUUCAGCGGCUCCUGAGCCAUCUGACAGGACAGAGGUGGGAUUGACCCUCCCUGGCUCCCUUCCACAGUGGGCACAGGUCUGGAGCUACCCACCCACUCCCUUCCUCUUCCCUUCCCACACUGAGCAUCGUAGUAUCGUACAGAAUGGGAAACUGAGAGCUCUGAUAGCCUGAGUACUAAGCUUGCCCUGUGCCCUGUGGGAUGAGAAGACGUGUAGGAGAUCUGCCAGUUAGAGAGGGGCCGAGGGUGGGGGUUCAAGGACAGAUGCAGGUGGGGUUGAGGACCACUUUUCGCAAGGUAUUAAGUUCAGUCCUGGCAACUGACUCUCUCAAGGGCAUAUUGUCCCCAGUUAAUGCUGGAGACAAACCAGAAAGGAAGGUGUGGAGAGAUUUAAAUAAGCAAGCUGUGCCCGAGCCAUCCCAAACUCCCCUGUCACUCAGCGCAGCCAAGAGCCAUCCAAAGCCUGCUCUCUGUACUUCAGAACAGACCAGAUGUGGCAGUUUUCAGGGAACUUAGUGCUCCUUUUACGGGAGAUCUGCCAGGCCAGGUCAGUCUUCCACCUUAGAUCGCUAGACGCCUUGUGGGCACGAAGGACAGAGGAGCUGCAGGGCUCUGCAACCACCAGGCUCUAGGUAAGUCACAGGAUCUGCUCUCAUGUGAAUUUGAGAAGAUGCUAGAUAGGUGUUUUGUUUGAUUUUUUUCAGUGCUGGCUAUAUGCAGAGACUGGGCUAAGGCCUUUUUAACUAGUCCUCAAAGCCCCAGAGGAGCAAAGCCACAUUUACUCUCCCGAUUGCACUAAACCAGACCUCCUAUAAACGCCCAUCGACACCAGGCACGGGUGAAGUCUGUGUUCUGUUAUAUACACAACUACAAAUGAGCUCUAAAGUCCUUCCUCACUGUGCAGAGGCCUGGUCUGCAGCUCUUCUCCCAGGGGUGUCUGAUGGUAGAGGCUGAAGGUCCUGGCUCAGGUGAAGAUUAAAGACUGUGCCUUUUAGUGACAGUUGACCAGCAUUGUUCUCGAGUGGACAGUGUGGUGAGGUCUGCAUGGAACAUGAAGAGUGGUUGAGGUCAGGUCUCUGCCACUGAAGUGUCGCUAAGGAGAUGGUUCUGUAUAUAAAAACUAGCACUAUCUGGAUGUUUAUGGAGCUAAGCUGCCAGGAAAAAAAACAGUGUUUUCCAAAAACUUCAGGGCCUGUGCAGAACACAGCAUUGUUCUCUCUGCUUUCCAAAGACUGGUGACCAUGGAGCUCAGUUGUUCCCACCAUGCCCUGAUCAUCCCCAGCUUGUAUUUGGGGGAGGGCAUGGAGUGGGGGAGCCCUAUUUCAGUCCUACAAGGGUUUCUCUUUGGAACUCAGGCAUGAGCUCCCUCAUCAGGGCUAGGAGUGGAUUUCAGGACAGAGAAUCUAGUGGUGCUGGCACUCAGAGAAGAGGUUCGUGUGCCCCUCCGAGAGGCAAGCCAUGCCUUCUACUAGUUCUCUCCUGGGUUGACCUCAGCACUAUACCCACAUGAUGUAGAGGCUGAGGCAUCUUCAUUCAAGUGCUGAUGAGCUGAGAACUCCUCCCUGAGUCCCAGAGACACGUGUGAACAGUCAGGAGAGGCUGGAGUCCUGAGUCCCGGAGACACGUGUGAACAGUCAGGAGAGGCUGGAGUCCAGGGAGGCAGUCAAGAAGAGGUAAAAGGGUUUCAAGGCAGACAGUUCACAUGCAGACUGCAGAGAGCUGUGCUAAGCAACAGGUGUUCUCCAAACAAGUCUUCCCAUCUGCACUGGAACACACGGAAUGUGUUUGUGUUCUGUGAAUGAUCUCAUGCUCCUGUUAAGCAAAGGAGUCUUGUGGCCAUUGGAAAUGCGAUCUCACCUAUGUUCUUAAAUGGUGAAGCAAGAGACUAAGCAACCAGCAGCCACUCUCCCCAAGGCUGAGACGGCCACGGUGUAUGUGUGUGUGUGUGUGUAUGUGCGUGUGUAUGUGUGUGUAUGUGUGGGGGGGCUCCCUUCUUUUUUUUUCCUAAUCGUGUUUUAACCUUUGUGUGGUGUGAGGAUUGUUAUACAUAUGCCUCUGAUGGCCUGUGAUGUGGUUCCACGGGAGGUAGGCAGGCUGAGAAGAUAGGGAAGCCCUCAGCCUAGUGAGCAGUAUUUUUCUUUUAAGUCUUAUACCCCUUUCUCAUUUAGUAAUUUAAUGGUAUAUUAUGAUGUGUAUGUAUAAGCACAUCCAUAGAAGGCAAGCUUUCUUUUCUUAGUAUCCAGAAAAUCCAAUUUUCCACCCGUUGAGGUCUCUUUAGGAGGGUCACAGAGCUUCCCAGCCAUAGAAAUAGUUGUGAACUUUCCUGGAAAAGCGGCCUCCAAGGUCUGCAUGUUUCUUUGAGUCCCCUUGUGGUGAGAAAUCCUUGUCUUCUGAGAAUGGGUUUAAGUCCUAGAAAUAAUCUCAAAUUGUUCAUAGCACAGAUGAAUGAAUACAGAGAACUCCAAGGUGAAGCAGAAAUCCUGUGGUGGGAGAGAUGGCUCCGUCGAUAAAGGCACUGCUGCCAAGGCUGAUGACCUGAGUUUGAGUCCCAGGAUCCAUGUGGUGGAAAGAGAGACCUGAUUCCUGAAAGCUGUCCUCUGACCUCCACAUGCAUGCACGGCACAUACAUAUACACUCAUGAACACAAAAUAAAUAUUUUUUAAAAAAUUUUAAGAGAAUAUCUAAGACAUGUUGGAAAAGAGACUUUGGACUCAAAGCCUCUGACCUCUGAACCUGGUGAUUCAAGGAAGGACUGUACUCAUUAGUACGUGUGACUGCUAGGAGCCUCAUUUUCAAAUCCACAUCGCUUGCCAGGCCUCGUAUGUGUUCACACCCCUACAUACACUACGGACCUAAGUACAUAUUCACUAGUGUGAACAGCUGGUAGGUAUUCUGUGAAAUGGAGAUAUACCUAAGUGCAUGUUAUCGUCAUGUGUGCUGUGACUGGGGUGCCAUGUCUUUGUCAUGAGACUUUGCUUCUUCUCAGAGUUAAGGCUCUGCCCUCUGAUCAAGGCAGUUCAUAUACAGCAUUUUCUUGUAUCAGCUCCUGGAGUUUUGCCGCCUAGUGUUGUGUUUACAUGUGACUUUGCCUAGGACUCUGUUCUCACACACAUACCUGUGAGUAUUUAUUACAAAGUGAAAUGGGAACAGGUUUGUCCACAGUGGUUUUAUUUGAAUGGAGGUGUUUUUUGCUUUCGAGGAGGGAUGGUGCAGCCCCUUCCUCAAUGAGGCACUGACAGAAUCAGUGGCAAAUUCUGUGAAGUAGGGCCGACGCAGGCUCCAGCUUCAGCCUGACUUGGAGCCCCUGCCCCUCCUGUCCUGUGCGUGUCACUGUGUUGGAGGUGUGUGCCACACUUCCUGGUAGAUUCUGGUAUCCAGGCAUAACCUUUGGCAUCUUUGUGUCACUGGACUUUUAUCAAGGGGUAGAAUACAGAUCUGUAUAGCUGGAUGGGUCCGUGUGCAGAAAGAGGGAGUCCAGGAACACUGUGGGUCUCUUGCCCCAUGAAUAUGGAUACCGUCGGUCAGCCAAAGAUUUUCCUAUCCUUUGCUGCUUAAACUUGUGCCUUAAUAUUGUAUAUAAUAAAUGGAUAAAACAGCA